rnacentral:rRNA from 1 species
UACGAAGGGGGCUAGCGUUGCUCGGAAUUACUGGGCGUAAAGCGCACGUAGGCGGCUUCUUAAGUCGGUGGUGAAAUCCUGGAGCUCAACUCCAGAACUGCCUUCGAUACUGGGAGCUCGAGUCCGGGAGGGGUGAGUGGAACUGCGAGUGUAGAGGUGAAAUUCGUAGAUAUUCGCAAGAACACCAGUGGCGAAGGCGGCUCACUGGCCCGGUACUGACGCUGAGGUGCGAAAGCGUGGGGAGCAAACAGG